rnacentral:rRNA from 1 species
AUUAUGAUGAUGACAUUAUCUAUCUAUUAGUCUUGACCAAAUUACGUGCCAGCAGUCGCGGUAAUACGUAGAAGACAAGUGUUAUUCAUCUUUAUUAGGUUUAAAGCGUACCAAGACGGUUAAUAAAGCCCAAAAGAAAUGAAUACGGGGGACACAUUAACUAGAGUUAUAUGAAAGGAAGCUAUAAGGUACUGUUGAGUGUAGAGAUGAAAUUCUAUGAUACCAGAUGAUUGGCACAGAUUAAUGCGAAGGCAUCUUCUUAUGUAAUAACUGACGUUGUAGGACGAAGGCUUAGGAAGUGAACAGGAUUAGGUACCCCAGUAAUCUAGGCAGAAAAUGAUGAAUGUCAUAGGUUGAAUACAGACAGGUUAAAUUGACUAUCUAACAGUAAAUAGGUAGUAUAUUAAUCAGUCUAUUAUUGUGUCUAUAAAUGAAAGUGUAAGCAUUCCACCUCAAGAGUAAUUUGGCAACAUUGGAACUGAAAUCAUUAGACCGUUUCUGAAACCAGUAGUGAAGUAUGUUGUUUAAUUAGAUGAUACACAAGAACCUUACCACAUUUUGAAUAUAUAUAUAAAAUAUAUUUACAAGCGCUGCACGGCUGUCUACAGUUAAUGUCGUGAGACUUUGGUUAGCUCCAGGAAAUAACGGUAAACCCUAAUUUUAUUUAUAAAUAAAA